rnacentral:lncRNA from 1 species
GUAUAUUCUUGUGCAAUAGGGUUUGUUUUUAGUUCUCUUUUCAAUUGCAGAGCUGAUACAGAAUCCAUGAGCUUCUGCAGUUUUAGUUCCUACACAUAAAGCCCUCUUCAUGCUCUGCACAUUUGUGAAUAUGAUCUGCAAUUUUAGUUCUUAUUAAACAGCAUCCUAAUUUCCAGGACCUGGAAUUAUAUGAAGAGCAGAUUUCUUUCACAAGAACCAAGCUGAUUGGUCGAGCUGAACAUGAAUUGGAGUUUCCGAACUUGUGGGAUCUCUUCGUCACAGUUCCAACAGCUUUGAUUUGAAUUCUGAUAACUUCUCUCUGUAUAGCAAUUCUUUUUGGUCAGGGUCAUACUGUUGUAACAUAAUUAGAAGAAUCAAAGUGAUGCACCUCUAUUACAAAUUGUUUCAAACCUUUCCCAGUUCUAUUCCUGUAGUCGAACUUGGCCAACUAGGCACAUCAAUCUCAAGCUCUUGAAAUGAUUCAUCCCUACGACCAUCUCUCAACAAUAACUCCUGAAGAUUUUGUAAUAACCCGACCCCGAAAUUCUUAUCCAAUGGAUUCAGCUCCUAGGAUGUUUGCAUCGUUAGACCGAAGACUUCAGAAAUCCUCUUUAGCACAAAUUUCAUACAAGUUUGAGAUUCGAAGCCGAACCUGAAGGUACCACCUUCAGCUUGCAGUCACAACUCACAAGUGCCUUGUCCGAUGUGUCAAGGCAAGGGGCUGUAGUUACAGCAAGAAUUCCUGUAACGAACUUUGCUCCCCAAUUUGAAUGCUUUUCAACUUGAGAAGAUUGGCUUCUAGAUUGGAUCAGCACCAGAACCAACGCUGCAAGAAUCAUCUGAGCAUGCAGAUUUUUUGGCUCCAUGUUGUUAACGAGCAGCAUAGCUUUCUCCUUUUUGUGUUUGUGCUUCUGAGAUUAAAUAGUUCUCGAAUUCGCUUCUCCAGUGAUA